CUUUCAACGAGAGGUCUAUACAAGAUUCCAUCUGUCCACUUGAAGAUGAAAUAUUUCAAAAAGAACAAGAUGAUCUUCUAUCAGAUCUAAAAGAUAUACCAAAGAAAGCUUGUGAUCGUAAAAUCAAUGAAUUUGUAAAACGAGCUAGAUCUGCUGUGAUACAUGCUUACAUUAUGGGUCAUCUUAAGAAGCAAAUGCCUU
rnacentral:sRNA from 1 species